UGACCUCAAAUCAGGUAGGACUACCCGCUGAACUUAAGCAUAUCAAUAAGCGGAGGAAAAGAAACUAACAAGGAUUCCCCUAGUAACUGCGAGUGAAGCGGGAAAAGCUCAAAUUUGAAAUCUGGCGGUUCUUGAACUGUCCGAGUUGUAAUCUAGAGAAGUGUUACCUGUGCUGGACCGUGUACAAGUCUCCUGGAAUGGAGCAUCACAGAGGGUGAGAAUCCCGUCUUUGACACGGACUGCCUGUACGAUAUGGUGCGCUCUCGAAGAGUCGAGUUGUUUGGGAAUGCAGCUCAAAAUGGGUGGUAAAUGCCAUCUAAAGCUAAAUAUUGGCGAGAGACCGAUAGCGAACAAGUACCGUGAGGGAAAGAUGAAAAGAACUUUGGAAAGAGAGUUAAACAGUACGUGAAAUUGCUGAAAGGGAAACGCUUGAAGUCAGUCGCGUCGGCUAGAAAUCAGCCUUUGCUUUUGCUUGGUGUACUUUCUGGUUGAUGGGUCAGCAUCAAUUUUGACCAUCGGAUAAAGUCAUUGGGAAUGUGGCAUCUUAGGAUGUGUUAUAGCCCAUUGUCGCAUACGGUGGUUGGGAUUGAGGAACUCAGCAUGAGCGAGAUGACGCUCGUGCUUAGGA
rnacentral:rRNA from 1 species